rnacentral:rRNA from 1 species
UACGGAGGGUGCAAGCGUUAUCCGGAUUCACUGGGUUUAAAGGGUGCGUAGGUGGGCUGGUAAGUCAGUGGUGAAAUCUCCAGGCUUAACUUGGAAACUGCCAUUGAUACUAUCAGUCUUGAAUACCGUGGAGGUCAGCGGAAUAUGUCAUGUAGCGGUGAAAUGCUUAGAUAUGACAUAGAACACCAAUUGCGAAGGCAGCUUACUACAGGGAUAUUGACACUGAGGCACGAAAGCGUGGGGAUCAAACAGG